CCUACGGGAGGCAGCAGUGAGGAAUAUUGGUCAAUGGGCGCGAGCCUGAACCAGCCAAGUAGCGUGAAGGAUGACUGCCCUACGGGUUGUAAACUGCUUUUGUACGAGGGUAAACGCAGAUACGCGUAUCUGUCUGAAAGUAUCGUACGAAUAAGGAUCGGCUAACUCCGUGCCAGCAGCCGCGGUAAUACGGAGGAUUCAAGCGUUAUCCGGAUUUAUUGGGUUUAAAGGGUGCGUAGGCGGUCGGAUAAGUUAGAGGUGAAAGCCCGAGGCUCAACUUCGGAAUUGCCUCGGAUACUGUUCGGCUAGAGAGUAGUUGAGGUAGGCGGAAUGUAUGGUGUAGCGGUGAAAUGCUUAGAGAUCAUACAGAACACCGAUUGCGAAGGCAGCUUACCAGGCUACUUCUGACGUUGAGGCACGAAAGCGUGGGGAGCAAACAGGAUUAGAUACCCGAGUAGUC
rnacentral:rRNA from 1 species